UACAGAGGGGGCAAGCGUUGUUCGGAAUUACUGGGCGUAAAGGGCGCGUAGGCGGCCCGCUAAGUCGAACGUGAAAUCCCCGGGCUCAACCCGGGAACUGCGUCCGAUACUGGUGGGCUUGAAUCCGGGAGAGGGAUGCGGAAUUCCAGGUGUAGCGGUGAAAUGCGUAGAUAUCUGGAGGAACACCGGUGGCGAAGGCGGCAUCCUGGACCGGUAUUGACGCUGAGGCGCGAAAGCGUGGGGAGCAAACAGG
rnacentral:rRNA from 1 species